rnacentral:rRNA from 1 species
GUGAGGAAUAUUGCGCAAUGGAGGCAACUCUGACGCAGCCAUGCCGCGUGCAGGAAGAAGGCGCUACGCGUUGUAAACUGCUUUUAACCGGGAAGAAACCCCAGGACGUGUCCUGGGUUGACGGUACCGGAGGAAUAAGCACCGGCUAACUUCGUGCCAGCAGCCGCGGUAAUACGAAGGGUGCAAGCGUUAUCCGGAUUCAUUGGGUUUAAAGGGUGCGUAGGCGGGGCGUUAAGUCAGUGGUGAAAUCCUGCAGCUUAACUGUAGACUUGCCAUUGAUACUGGCGCUCUUGAGUGCGCUUGAAGUGGGCGGAAUGUGCCGUGUAGCGGUGAAAUGCUUAGAUAUGGCACAGAACACCAAUUGCGAAGGCAGCUCACUAAGGCGAUACUGACGCUGAGGCACGAAAGCGUGGGGAUCGAACAGGAUUAGAAACCCGGGUAGUCC